rnacentral:misc_RNA from 1 species
AACGCACAUUGCGCCCCUUGGUAUUCCGAGGGGCAUGCCUGUUCGAGCGUCAUUAAAACAACUCAAGCUUGGCUUGGUAUUGGGGUUCGCGGUCCCGCGGCCCCUAAAAUCAGUGGCGGCGCCGUCUGGCUCUAAGCGUAGUAAUGCUCUCGCUAUAGGGUCCCUCGGUGGCUAGCCAGAACCCCCCACCUCUAUGUUUGACCUCGGAUCAGGUAGGGAUACCCGCUGAACUUAA